CAACAAGUAGCAUGUCUGUGAAUGUGUGGCUCACCGAGUCUGAGUGCUUGGCUCCCGAAAAUACAUUUUUUUUUUUAGUUUGUUUUGCUCAACUGAAAAAAAAAAACAGUCACAACGUGAUUUUUUUUCUUUGUUUGUUCGUUGUUGUCUGAUCCAAGGUCAGUUUUGUCAGCGUACUUGCGUGUUCCUAAUUUUGAGAUUUUGAGUCGAUCGUCCCUCGUGCGUUCAUGCUAAUUAAUCCAGCCAGUAAAAGCCAGUGUGUGUAGUGCAGAAGGUCGUGGGAUUCAGGUGCGACACAUCACCAUGGAGCGUAUUACAUCUUAAACGCUGGGAAUGAAAACGUUUCUUUUGCGAACAUCGGUAAGAAGUAGGUAGGGUUUAUUUUUCUUUUAUUUGUCUAAAUUGUAGUUCGGGAAACUAGGAGUAAAUACAACAAAUAAACUGGGCAUGAAAUCUGUUCCAGGAUACUGAUUUGUCCACUCAUGACUAUACUUCUAUACACAUCAGAUCAUGAUGUCCGAUUUCCUGUCAAAAAAAAAGAAAAACCCCUCUAUUAAUUUUGUGCCUAUAGGUAAAUAGAUAGAUAGAUAGAUAGAUAGAUAGAUAGAUAGAUAGACAGAUAGAUAGAUAGAUAGAAAGACAGAUAGAUGGAUAGAUAGAGAGAUAGAUAGAUAGACAGAUAGAUAGAUAGAUAGAUAGAUAGAUAGAUAGAUAGAUGCCAGCGAGAAAGUGAUUGAAGCACAUGUGAUUUAUACCCUACAACUUCUUUCCGGUUUAUAACCUCUUAUCAUAUGUCUGUUAUAAUAACACAGGCCCACACACACUCACACACACACACACACACACACACACACACCGUGCUAAAGUGCUAAAGUGAAAAGGUUCCGCAAUUGUACUGAAAUCAUUACAUAAUGAGUUUAAUGAAAUUAUUACUAGAAUGCCAGUGAAAGAGAACCGGAGAACCGGCUGCCACGAGCAGGAAGAAUGACUGACAGGCUCACGGGGAAAAUAAAGACGGUUCAUUACGUCGCACAGGGUUGUGUUGUUUCCUUUGUUCUUCUUUUUAAAAACUAAUAAUUAUUUCAGUGAUGUACAUUUGUCAUGUAAUAUGUCUGAAGCAAUAAAACUCAUGGCUGAUAUGUCGACUGAUUGGUG
ensembl:lncRNA